UACGAAGGGUGCAAGCGUUACUCGGAAUUACUGGGCGUAAAGCGUGCGCAGGCGGUUUUGUAAGCCAGGUGUGAAAUCCCCGGGCUCAACCUGGGAAUGGCAUUUGGGACUGCAAGGCUGGAGUGCGGCAGAGGAGACUGGAAUUCCUGGUGUAGCAGUGAAAUGCGUAGAUAUCAGGAGGAACACCGAUGGCGAAGGCAGGUCUCUGGGCUGACACUGACGCUCAUGCACGAAAGCGUGGGGAGCAAACAGG
rnacentral:rRNA from 1 species